AGUUUGAUUAUGGCUCAGAUUGAACGCUGGCGGGAUGCUUUGCUGCAAGUCGAACGGCAGCACGGACUUCGGUCUGGUGGCGAGUGGCGAACGGGUGAGUAAUGUAUCGGAACGUGCCUAGUAGCGGGGGAUAGACCGAUGCGAAAGCGUAGCUAAUACCGCAUACGCCCUUCGGGGGAAAGCGGGGACUCGGGCCUCGCACUAUUAGAGCGGCCGAUAUCGGAUUAGUUAGUUGGUGGGGUAACGGCUCACCAAGGCGACGAUCCGUAGCUGGUUUGAGAGGACGACCAGCCACACUGGGACUGAGACACGGCCCAGACUCCUACGGGAGGCAGCAGUGGGGAAUUUUGGACAAUGGGGGAAACCCCGAUCCAGCCAUCCCGCGUGUGCGAUGAAGGCCUUCGGGUUGUAAAGCACUUUUGGCAGGAAAGAAACGGCACGGAUAAUACCCCGUGCAACUGACGGUACCUGCAGAAUAAGCACCGGCUAAUCCUACGUGCCAGCAGCCGCGGUAAUACGUAGGGUGCAAGCGUUAAUCGGAAUUACUGGGCGUAAAGGUGCAGGGCGGUCUGGAAAGAAAGAUGUGAAAUCCCAGAGCUUAACUUUGAACUCAUUUUUAACUACCGAGCUAGAGUGUGUCAGAGGGAGGUGGAAUUUUGCGUGUAGCAGUGAAAUGCGUAGAUAUGCGGAGGAACACCGACGGCGAAGGCAGCCUCCCUGGGACAGUCGACUGACGUCAUGCACGAAAGCGUGGGGAGCAAACAGAUUAGAUACUCCGGUAGUCCACGCCCUAAACGAUGUCAACUAGCUGUUGGGGCCUUCGGGCUCAUGGUAGCGCAGCUAACGCGCGUGAAGUUGACCGGGCCUUGUGAAUACGGUCGCAAGAUUAAAAAAUCAAAGGAAUUGACGGGGACCCGCACAAGCGGUGGAUGAUGGGACGAAUUGACGCAUCGCAAAAACCUUACCUACCCUUGACAUGUCUGGAAUCCCGAAGAGAUUUGGGAGUGCUGCAAAGAGAACCGGAACAUUGCGGUGCUGUAUGGCUGUCGUCAGCUCGUCGUGAGAUGUUGGGUUAAGUCCCGCAACGAGCGCAACCCUUGUCAUUAGUUGCUACGAAAGGGCACUUCUUAAUGAGAUCGCCGGUGACAAACCGGAGGAAGGUGGGAUGACGUCAAGUCCUCAUGGCUUCGGUAGGGCUUCACACGUCAUACAAUGGUCGGGACAGAGGUCGCCAACCCGCGAGGGGGAGCCAAUCCCAGAAACCCGAUCGUAGAACUGAUCGCAGUUCGUAACCCGACUGCGUGAAGUCGGAAUCGCCAGUAAUCGCGGAUCAGCAUGUCGCGGUGAAUACGUUCCCGGGUCUUGUACACACCGCCCGUCACACCAUGGGAGUGGGUUUACCAGAAGUAGUUAGCCUAACCGUAAGGAGGGCGAUUACCACGGUAGGAUUCAUGAUCGGGGUGAAGUCGUAACAAGGCAGCUCCUGG
rnacentral:rRNA from 1 species